ACCCGACCCGAAUCCGAUAAAUUUAUAUCUUGAAUCGGAUCAGAUUUGGGUAGUGACCACCCCAACCCAUUAUCCGAUCCGAACCCGAUCCGAUCUUAUGUAUAUAUAUUAUUCAGAUAUGGGCUGAUUGUAUGAAAUGUGGACCUUAUGACCUUUAGGCUUGGUUAAGGCCUCAAUAGUCGAAGAGUGGUAGUGGGCUAUUGUUCAAUGCUUCUAUUUUUAUCU
rnacentral:lncRNA from 1 species